UACGGAGGGGGUUAGCGUUGUUCGGAAUGACUGGGCGUAAAGCGCGCGUAGGCGGGCUGGAAAGUUGGGGGUGAAAGCCCGGGGCUCAACCCCCGGGAUGCCGCCCGAGACUGGUCUCCUUGAGGACGGAAGAGGGGAGUGGAAUUCCUGGUGUAGCGGUGAAAUGCGUAGAGAUCAGCAGGAACACCCUGGCGAAGGCGGCCCCCUGGGCCGAAC
rnacentral:rRNA from 1 species